rnacentral:misc_RNA from 1 species
UUCAGUCCGUGAACAUGUCGAGCGGGCGGUAUCCGGCAAGUUUGAGUCGACGAGUCAAAGUUUUUAUAAUUAAGUUUUAACAAGUAUUUACCUUAAGUUUUAAUAUUACACCGUACGAAUCAUGUUGUCGAAAGUGAAUAUUUUUGUGUUAGUCGCGGGUGUGUUAGGCUCGGAGAUCAUGUGGCAAAUUUGGAAAUGCAUACAGAACCGUAGUGUUGUGAAAAGUAACAAGUCGAACAAUGUAAUUCCAAACAAAGAAACUGUGACAGCUGAUGACAAUGAAAUACUAAUGUUUACCGAAAAAGGUAAAUUGUGCCGCAGUCAUGCGAUUACGAGGAUUCCGUGCAAGAAAAGCAACUGUCCAGUCGGUUAUAUAAAGAAGUUGGUAUCGUAUUUGAGCCGUGCUUCAAAAACAUUGGACGUUUGCUUGUACAUCAUGACCUGCGAUGAUGUGACGAACGCCAUUAUAAUGGCCCACAGACAAAGCGCACGCGUUAGGGUCAUUGUUGAUUCGGGAAUGAGCGAAAAUCCCGCCUGCAAUAAUCAAAUAUUACGGAUGCGACGAGCUGGCAUAGAAAUUCGGAUGAACGAAUUUCAACCAUCGAGUCUCAUGCAUCAUAAAUUUGCUGUAAUGGACGAUGAAAUCGUUCUGUUUGGGAGCACCAAUUGGACGAUGCAAGCAUUUUAUGGAAACAACGAUUCGAUCGUCGUGACAAACAACAAAAAAUGCGUUAUUGCAUAUUCUAAUGAAUUCGACAAUUUGUGGCGACACUUUUCCCCCUAAGCAGACUCUGGAUUUUACCGUUCGUCGAUAAAAAUCCUACCGAGAGUACACCGAAGUUCCUGGAAGAUGGCGAUUGCGAUGAAUCCUAGAAGCUAUUUUUAAAUUUUUAUAUGAAGUUAAGAAUUACAAGAAUUACAUUGACUACUUUGUCGCGGAGUCAAGAGGAUCGAUCCAGUCGACGAACCUCACUUGGAAUUUCCGAAAUACGAAAUUAUUUGACACAGUUUGACCGAUUAAAAAAUUUUUUUAAUGCCUUUUUUUAAUAGGUCAAACUGUGUCAAAUAAUUUCGAUUUGAAUUUGAGAUUUUUGUAAAAACUUUGUCAGACAAAGUUAUCUCCAGUUUCCUUCGACUUCCUUGAUGGCCAAACUCUUCAAAAUUCUUGCAUUAAUUUUGCUUUCCAGUGCAAAGUUCGAACAAAAAUUUUGUAUUUUGCUCGAAAAAAAAAAAUUAAAAUAAGUCCAACUAUAA